UUUUUUAUUUUUGGUUUCUCUUCACAGCCCACGUUGGUGUGCUUGCGCCACUACCAAUUCUCUGAGGAUGGUAAGUCGGUGAGCAGUAUCGGUCACCGAUAUAUAUAAAAAAGAAUCUUUCAGAGUGUCUCUCAGGUCAGGGUUCCGACGACAUCUGGUGAAAUCGUUGGUGGGUACAGAAAAGCAGGUCCUUGCUCCAAAUUUAGUAAACUAUAGGGACCCUAUAGAGUAAGUCCAUAGAGCUUGUAAAGAUCCUUAGAAAGAGGAAUAUCAAUAUUA
rnacentral:lncRNA from 1 species